rnacentral:rRNA from 1 species
UACGGAGGGUGCAAGCGUUGUUCGGAAUUAUUGGGCGUAAAGCGCGUGUAGGCGGCUUUCUAAGUCUGGUGUGAAAUCCCGGAGCUUAACUCCGGAACUGCACUGGAUACUGGAAAGCUAGAGGGCGAGAGAGGAUGGUGGAAUUCCUGGUGUAGGGGUGAAAUCCGUAGAUAUCAGGAGGAACAUCAGUGGCGAAGGCGGCCAUCUGGCUCGCACCUGACGCUGAGACGCGAAAGCGUGGGGAGCAAACAGG